UGUGUAGUGUGGAGGACUGGUUUCAGCGGGGGUCAGCCGCUGAAGGAAACGGGGAAAGAACGGUGGAAAUCCGUCGCUGUCCCGCAGCUGUAACCCCCCGAGCUUCUCGGGGUCAGUCAGAACGCCCGCCAGGUCUCCAAACGACGC
rnacentral:ncRNA from 2 species